GACAGAGGAUGCAAGCGUUAUCCGGAAUGAUUGGGCGUAAAGCGUCUGUAGGUGGCUUUUUAAGUCCGCCGUCAAAUCCCAGGGCUCAACCCUGGACAGGCGGUGGAAACUACCAAGCUGGAGUACGGUAGGGGCAGAGGGAAUUUCCGGUGGAGCGGUGAAAUGCGUAGAGAUCGGAAAGAACACCAACGGCGAAGUACAUCUCGCUGGGCCGACACUGACACUGAGAGACGAAAGCUAGGGGAGCGAAUGGG
rnacentral:rRNA from 1 species